ensembl:snoRNA
UGGAGGUGAUGAACUAUCUUGACCUGACUUUAUAGAAUGGAGGCAAAAAACUGAUUUAAUGAGCCUGAUCC